CGCCUGGGGAGUGCGGCCGCAAGGUUAAAACUCAAAGGAAUUGACGGGGACCCGCACAAGCGGUGGAGCAUGUGGUUUAAUUCGAUGCAACGCGAAAAACCUUACCUACCCUUGACAUCCAUAGAAGACAGAAGAGAUUUUGUUGUGCCUUUGGGAACUAUGAGACAGGUGCUGCAUGGCUGUCGUCAGCUCGUGUUGUGAGAUGUUGGGUUAAGUCCCGCAACGAGCGCAACCCUUAUUUUUAUUGCCAGCAUGUAAGAUGGGCACUUUAAAGAGACUGCCGCUGAUAAGGCGGAGGAAGGUGGGGACGACAUCAGUCUCAUGGCCCUUACGGGUAGGGCUACACACGUGCUACAAUGGGCAUUACAGAGGGAAGCGAAAGCGAGAGCUGGGGCAAACUUUUAAGG
rnacentral:rRNA from 1 species